rnacentral:lncRNA from 1 species
UUAGGGUUUAAUGAAAGAUUAACAAUUUUCUUCCUCACGUUUCUUCUUCCUCUCUUUCUCCUUCUCUUCUCCUUCUUUUCUUCUUCUUCCUCCUUCUCUUCUCCCUCUUCUUCUAUUCCUGAUUUAAAAUUGCAACGUGAGUACAUUGAAACCACUGAAGUCUACCUUCCCGGAUUUGGUCCUACAUCAACUUGGUAUCAGAGCAAGGCUGGUUUUGCCCCUGCUGCCAAAGCCCCGAUCCAUCUCCCGGCUACUUCUUCCAAACCAAAAAAAAAAAAAUCCCGUAGGAUCACGUGACCUGCACGUGUUUCCAAAAAAAAAAAAAACUAAACCUCUGUUUCUGUCGAACGGAAACCCUAGGGUUUCCGCCGCCGACGCCAUUGCCGCCGCCCCUGCCGUGCCGUCUCUGCCGCCGACGCCUUCUCCUCCGUCAACCGAGCCGCGCCGCCCCUGUGUCCGUGCCGUCCGUGCCGCUCCGCCUUCGCCGCCUCCGCCCGUGCCGCCUCCUGCCGCCGCCGAGAUCC